GCGUGGAAUAUUGAAAUAAGACCUCUGUUCUACUUUCAUUGGUUUAUACAUCAGGAGGUAAUGAUUAAUAGAAGCAGUUGNNNNNNNNCGAGAGGUGAAAUUCUUGGACCGUCGUAAGACUAACUUAAGCGAAAGCAUUUGCCAAAGAUGUUUUCAUUAAUCAAGAACGAAAGUUAGAGGUUCGAAGGCGAUCAGAUACCGCCCUAGUUCUAACCAUAAACGAUGCCAGCUAGCAAUUGGGUAUAGCUACUUCUAUGGCUUUCUCAGUCGCUUCCCGGGAAACCAAAGCUUUUGGGCUCCGGGGGAAGUAUGGUUGCAAAGCUGAAACU
rnacentral:rRNA from 1 species